rnacentral:lncRNA from 1 species
UACUUAUAUAUGCUAUGAUAAUUAUCAUGUACACCUAAAUAGACUAAUAAUUUAAUAUGAAAACAGAUUCUUUUAUAUUGUUCAAAUGUAAUGGGUAAUAUCUAAUGAAAUACUUCUAUAAUUUACCUAUAGUUUGAUAAUAAAGAAGAAUUUUUAAAAUAUAUAAUAACUUGGUAAGCAAUAUUUCACAAUAUUUCAGAUUUCUUGAUCUUUGUUUCAGUUUCAGGGUACCUGCAGAAUACAGACAUUUUGAGUUAAGAAAACCACACGUCUAUCUUCAAAAUUGAGAUUACCCUCUAUAUUUCAUUUUUCAUAAUUGCACAGAAAUGACAUCACCCAAUUUUCCAAAUUAUAUGACUUGAAUUUCACACUGGAUGUUUCAAAAAUUUGUUGAUUAACUUAUUGGAUAGUGACUCACUCAUUCACUGUCGUAUACCUUAUUUAUUAUGGUUAUUGCUUAUUUUCUGUUGAUUAGGUUGUAAGCCCUGUGAGAUCAGAGAUCUAUUUUGAUGCACACCAAGUACCUAGGACAGUGUUUGACAUGGGGGAGCCACUCAGUAAAUAUUUUUUGAAUGAAAAAUUAUGUGAUCAAAUU